rnacentral:rRNA from 1 species
GUCUCAGCAAAGAGUCCCUCCCGACUGUUUACCAAAAACACAGCACUUUGCCAACUCGUAAGAGGAAGUAUAAGGUGUGACGCCUGCCCGGUGCUCGAAGGUUAAGAGGAUGCGUCAGUCGCAAGAUGAAGCGUUGAAUUGAAGCCCGAGUAAACGGCGGCCGUAACUAUAACGGUCCUAAGGUAGCGAAAUUCCUUGUCGGUUAAAUACCGACCUGCAUGAAUGGCGUAACGAGAUGGGAGCUGUCUCAACCAGAGAUUCAGUGAAAUUGUAGUGGAGGUGAAAAUUCCUCCUACCCGCGGCAAGACGGAAAGACCCCGUGGACCUUUACUACAACUUAGCACUGCUAAUGGGAAUAUCAUGCGCAGGAUAGGUGGGAGGCUUUGAAGUAAGGGCUUUGGCUCUUAUGGAGCCAUCCUUGAGAUACCACCCUUGAUGUUUCUGUUAGG